CCUACGGGAGGCUGCAGUGAGGAAUAUUGGUCAAUGGCCGGAAGGCUGAACCAGCCAAGCCGCGUGAAGGACGAAGGUGCCAAGCAUUGUAAACUUCUUUUGUCAAGGGACAAAAUCAGGCACGAGAGCCUGACCGAGGGUACUUGAUGAAAAAGCAUCGGCUAACUCCGUGCCAGCAGCCGCGGUAAUACGGAGGAUGCGAGCGUUAUCCGGAUUUAUUGGGUUUAAAGGGUGCGCAGGCGGAUUUUUAAGUCAGUGGUUAAAUCGUGGGGCUCAACCCCAUCCAGCCGUUGAUACUGGGGAACUAGAGUGUGCGAGAGGUAGGCGGAAUGAGUGGUGUAGCGGUGAAAUGCAUAGAUAUCACGCAGAACCCCGAUUGCGAAGGCAGCAUACCGGUGCACAACUGACGCUGAGGCACGAAAGCGUGGGUAGCGAACAGGAUUAGAUACCCGUGUAGUC
rnacentral:rRNA from 1 species